GCGAAAGUAGCUCAGUUGGUAGAGCUCCAGCCUUCCAAGCUGGUUGUCGCGAGUUCGAGCCUCGUCUUUCGCUCCA
rnacentral:tRNA from 26 species